UACGGAAGGUCCGGGCGUUAUCCGGAUUUAUUGGGUUUAAAGGGAGCGCAGGCGGCUUGUUAAGCGUGACGUGAAAUGUACCGGCUCAACCGGUGACCUGCGUCGCGAACUGGCUGGCUUGAGUGCGUACGAGGAUGGCGGAAUUCGUGGUGUAGCGGUGAAAUGCUUAGAUAUCACGAAGAACUCCGAUUGCGAAGGCAGCUGUCCAGUCCGUAACUGACGCUAAUGCUCGAAGGUGCGGGUAU
rnacentral:rRNA from 1 species